rnacentral:rRNA from 1 species
AGUGAACGCUGGCGGUAGGCCUAACACAUGCAAGUCGAACGGCAGCACAGUAAGAGCUUGCUCUUACGGGUGGCGAGUGGCGGACGGGGGGGGAAUACAUCGGAAUCUACUUUUUCGUGGGGGAUAACGUAGGGAAACUUAGGCUAAUACCGCAUACGACCUACGGGUGAAAGCAGGGGAUCUUCGGACCUUGCGCGAUUGAAUGAGCCGAUGUCGGAUUAGCUAGUUGGCGGGGUAAAGGCCCACCAAGGCGACGAUCCGUAGCUGGUCUGAGAGGAUGAUCAGCCACACUGGAACUGAGACACGGUCCAGACUCCUACGGGAGGCAGCAGUGGGGAAUAUUGGACAAUGGGCGCAAGCCUGAUCCAGCCAUACCGCGUGGGUGAAGAAGGCCUUCGGGUUGUAAAGCCCUUUUGUUGGGAAAGAAAAGCAGCAGGUUAAUACCCCGCUGUUCUGACGGUACCCAAAGAAUAAGCACCGGCUAACUUCGUG